GGAUUCACAUAACUCAGACAGAAGGGCAAGCGAGACUCAGACAAGACUCCCACACAGCCAUGGGCCUCGCAUGGAGGUCCUACAUCCGAUACCCAACCCACGGUGUCAAACUAAGACGCAGAGAAAACCGGCCACUAGAAUCUCUGUUGUUCUCAAAACCUCUGCGUCCAUCUCUUAUGUCAAUGUCCCCAGAUGUCCCGUAUUAUAUACGGGGGACCGACAAGGUUUUGUUUAUUCACCGUCUACGUUGACCUCAACUCAAUGUUGUGUUUGAAUUUUGACUUCUAACACGGUCAAUACAUACAUUUGCGAUUUUCCAAUGUUAGUUGUCAAAUCUAUUUUUAAUUUAACCCACAUUUCUCAGCUGGGAUUAACAAAGUACAUCUACAUGGAGAGAAGGACGAGAUUGAUGGAAGCCUGAAUAAAUAGUGGGGUGAGUAAAUGUGCUGUGUGUGUGAGCAGGAGGACCGGAGGUAAACAGGGUUUAUUUAUGCAGGCAACGUACAGCAGCCAAACAUGGGCCUCCUAGGGUUGUGCACAAAAACACAGUGCUAUAAAAAGCCCCACUGAUGCGGAAACACACAUCCACACACAAUGUGAUCAUGACGUGGUGAUUUUGUCAAUCACCUGUUGACGUUGUACAGUCAAUCCCAGAAGUUCACGAUUGGUUAUAGGCACACACAAGCGCUCAGUGAAAUAGCAAAGCAGUCAGUUUCCACUGCGUUUAGGUGCACUCACUUGCAACGUAGAUGCAAACGGCAAUGAUAUAUCAUGUAGCAUUAACGAAAUACGAUAAACGCUCUGCUGACGUUUUCAAACUUGCAUUCUGAGCAUAAGACGCUUUUUGAUGUUGUCGGCCCUAGGAGCAAACAGUAUGCUGAAGAAGCAGAGGAACAAAGGGUCUAACAUGUUGGGGUCAUUGUGUGUUGGGGCAACCUGCAGCUCUGUUCCAGUAAUCGCCUUGAACAGCAGGGGGGCAUUCCUGGGACAGUGCAGGAUGCGGCUGGGUGCUGUCGCCGGAAUGGCCUGACAACAGCUCCUCUGUCUGAUGGGGAGAUAAGGCAGAGGAAGUCAGGGUCUUUGAUCCCUAAUGGCACCAAGUCUACUGUUG
ensembl:lncRNA